ACCCGCAAACCCCAGGCUGCUGAAGCAGAACACGCGAACUUAACCAUUACACCAUUGUGCUGGUCCCUAUUUUGCUUUUUUGGUGUGGCUAUAUUUCGCAGUCAUUAAGCAAAAUCAAAAUAUACCUUAGAUAUGUAACAUGAGAGCUGUAUGGCACAAUCCUGGAGGGAGGAAGGGAAUUGAAGCCCUCAGUGAACAUAGAAACUUUUUAAGGACUGACUGGGACCUGGAUAUUAGAGUGAGAAGAUUCAAUGGCUUUCUGGUCAAUCCAGGUAAACAGGGAAGAUGGUGGCACUUAUCAAACCACAAAUUGUCUUUUCUUCAUGGAAUUGGCAAACAUUGAAAAGCUGCUUGAGCUGAAACUCAUGAUGGUAAGAUUCCUGGAAUCCUGGAAAGUGGCUGUCCUAGCUGAUUGCAGCACAAGCAGCUGAGAUCUGGUGGCAGAAAGCAAGCAGAGUGGGCAAUUCUUCAGAGAGGUGUUCUAUCUGCUUUCAGGAUUCUGAGCUUUCCUGUGAGGCAAAGGAAGGACUCACUUACCUUGAUGAUGAUACAUUCCAGGCAGUUUUGUCAUCGUUGUUGGUUUGUUUAUUGCUUUUAAGGAAAAAGGUACCUGCUGCUCUCUGUAGAGGCCAGGACUGAAGGUCUCCUUGGAGGAGGUCUUCCCUGUCCUAGAAAGGGAGAUUUCCUCCAAGCAAUUCUGACUAAGCAGUACUGAUCAUCAACGAGUAACUUAAUUGAAUUUCUACGAUGUAUGUAAUAGCUUCACUAGCUCAGCAAGUGCUGCCUGUCAGCAGAAACAACCAGAAGCCAGUGACAAGUGAGCCUGUUGAUGCAGCCCACAUAGAUCAGCCUCCUAGGGCAGAGCAAGGUGGAGAAGUUCAGAGUGGAGCCAAAGAGGCAAAGUGAAGAAAUCCAGCACACUGAUAAAUCUUCCUUCAGAGAUAACAUCAAAUGUUCACCUUGGAAGUCCUUUACGAAUAUGAAACAUACACUAAAUGGUCGUCCUCCUGUUCUCUACCCUCCUCCUCUCCCAUGCCAGGCGUGGACCCUAAUGGACCCAAAUUGUUGUGCUGCAAUAAAUGGUGGAGGCAAGAGCAGCCAUAGACACAGAAUCAAAGUCAAUCAUGAGUCAGACACAUACACCAUUGGUGCUGGAAAGGCCCUAAAGAAUCCUGCAGCCCAGUGAAUCUCAAACUUUACUGCAUGCAACUGGAAUCAAGUGAGAAUCAUUGGAAUCCAUAAAAAUACAGAAGCCCAGGACCUCACCAAUCAAGGAUCUAAUUUCUUAGAUCUAGUCAUUCUGAUGCAAACCAGUUCAGAGAACCACUGUUCUAACUUAACUUUAAAGAUGAAGAAAACCAUCACUUAUAAAAUCUCCGGUCAUUAUUUCUUCCUAUCCAUUUGCAUUACUACUACCUUAAUCUCAACUUUUGUUACCCCAAUAUCUAUAACAGUCUCUGGCAGUAGGUGUUAUCGGAUAAAUGUUUGUUAAAUUAAUGAACGUUUAUCUUUUGCUUUGGGAUCCUUUUCAAUGCUGAUAAUUAUUCCACCUCCAACCAAUCUAUGGCAUGCUGUUGAUUAAUAUUGCUUUGAAAAUUGAAAGAACAAUCUUGAGUAAGGAAGGCAUUAUUUAUCCAUUUUACAGAUGAGAAAACUGAGGCAAGGAGAAGUAAGUGAUUAGUAUUUCUUUUGCAGAACAUAGUGAAGGAGCUAUUGCUUGAAUUAAGAGAUAGCAUGUUUGUGAAGACAUAAUUCAUAAGCCCUUUGUAUAAUUUAGCUAUGUCACAACUAUUACGUAUCAAGAAAUGUGACAUAACAGAGAGAGAGUGGAAGACAGAGGGAACGGGAGGUAAUAUGUUGUAGUAGUUAGGUAGGCAGAGAUAAGAGCUUGACUCCUGGUUCAAAUCCCACCUCUAUCAUGUGUGGCCUUUAGUUGUAUGACCUCAGUGUGUUUAUUGAUCUCUCGAAACCACAUUUUUCUUAUCCAUAAAAGGAUGAUCAUAAUAAUAUUUUGUUUGGGGGUUAUUAUCAGGAUUAAAUGAAGAUUAAGUGUAAAAGCUUAAUAGAUCAUCUGACAAAUAGUAAAUAGUCAAUAAAUUUUACUUAUUAUUCAUGUUAUCAUCAUCAUCACCAUCACCAUUGUCAUUAACAUGAGAAUAUUUUAGGAGGUCGGGUUGUAUCAAACUCGGGUUUUAUCAAAGACAGACACUGUUUAUCAAUAGGACUGUGAGCUCUUAUAAGGCGUUAUAAUAUUAACCAAAAAUUAGGAAAAGGGGUAUUAUUCAGGUGUAUGUAGAAAAGAAUAGGGGAACAAGCUCAAGUUGGCUAAAAAUAUUUGAACGAAUGGUUUCCUUUCUGCUAAGGUAGGUUCUAACAUGCCUAGACUUGGUUUUCUUGCCCAGGAGUAUCUCAAAGGUAUGAUAAAUACCUGUCAGUAGUUGUACAUAAAUCCAUACAUUUAAAUAUCUGUCCAAUUUUUAAAGUAUAUAAGUGUGAUCAUUGUGUAUACUGACCCCGACAUUCUUUGAGUUGGAAAUCAGGAUACAUCUCUUUUGUGUGUGAAUAUAAUUGCAUGCAAUGCAGUAUAGAACUUAAGAAAAUGUUAUAUUUAUAAGAUCUUAUUAGAUUAGCCUUGUGACAGUAUGAAUUGUUUCUUUUACCUUUUCCUGUCAUUGUAGAGCCAUUCCAUUGACACAAAUACACAAAUUAAGAGGCAUCGGUAGAAUUGUAAACUGGCUUACUGAGGUUGUAAAUAGGCAUUGCCACUGUCCAUAAAACUUCAUUGGUAUUAAAAAGAUCUCAUCAUUUAUCUACUGCACUGCAUGGCUGCCCAGGUAAGGUCCCAGCAGCUUCAUGGUCUGACACUGUCAGAAAGAUUCAGGACUCAGGAAAAGAAACAGCUCUCUCUUGUCACAUGACUGUACAUCUCAGUUAUGCUCUGUAGAGACUGUUGUAAAGGACACCAAAGCAUUUGAGCAAAUCGCAUGAAUAAUAACAAAUUUAGAAAGCAUGUUCCUUCAGAAGUAUGUAAGUAUUCUACCUAAAUGUAACAAUAACAAUAGUAAAUAUUUAUCAAUGGGGCUUAUUAUCUGCUGGGGACUAUGGUAGAUUCUUUACAGGAAUUAUUUCAUUUAGUCUUUAUGGCAAUAUUGAGGUAGUGAUAAUAUCCCCAUUUUACAGAUAAGGAUAUUGAGUUACAGAGAGGUUAAGUAAUUUCCCCAAGAUCAUCCACCUAAUAAAGGUAGAGUCAGAAUGUGAACUCAGGCCAUUUGUCCUAGGAGCCCUAGUUCUUAAAUAUUAACUCUUUACUACAAUGUUUUCAUUCGUAUUAACUGUGUGCAAGUGAUAAGACAUCGAUGGAUUUUGAUAUUACUUCUUCAUCUCACUUGGGAAGGAAAGUAUUGAUUAGUCAAAGAGUUUCUUGUAACAUUAUGUUAGUCAGGAUAAGCUAAGCUAUGCUGUGAUAACAAAUAAAUUUCCAAAUCUCAGUGGCUUAUCAAAAAAAGUAGUUUAUUUCUCACUCACAUUAUAGGUCAGGUGGCCCUCCUUGGCAGUUCUCCUCAAAUUAUGGCUCAGGCUCUGAGCAACUUCUGUUCUACAACUCCACCAUGCAGGUCUUUGCUUCCAGGGCACAGAUAUGAGAGGGAGACCAUGAAGGACGUAUAUCAUCUUUUAACUAUCUUUUAUGCUCAUGUUCCCAUUGAUGAAAUUUCAGGCACACAGUGUCAGUCUAACUCCAAGAAGGCUAGGAAAUAUAGUUUUCUUGUGUGAAGAGAAGGAGGAGACACUGUGGCAAAUACAUUGUAUGUUUCUCCACAAGCAUCAGACCACAACUCUUUCUUACUACUUCAAUUCAUU